AGAGCCGUGGUGUAGUGGUUAUCACGUCUGCUUCACACGCAGAAGGUCUUGGGUUCGAACCCCAAUGGCUCUA
rnacentral:tRNA from 1 species